AUACGGAGGGAGCAAGCGUUAUUCGGAAUCACUGGGCGUAAAGGACGCGUAGGCGGGUUUGUAAGUCAGGUGUGAAAUCCUACAGCUCAACUGUAGAGCUGCACUUGAAACUACGGACCUAGAGUAUGGAAGGGGCAGAUGGAAUUAGUGGUGUAGGGGUAAAAUCCGUAGAUAUCACUAGGAAUACCGAAAGCGAAGGCGAUCUGCUGGGACAUUACUGACGCUGAGGCGUGAAAGCGUGGGGAGCAAACAGGAUUAGAAACCCCAGUAGUCC
rnacentral:rRNA from 1 species